GGAGGGGUGGCAGAGUGGUCGAAUGCACCGGUCUUGAAAACCGGAGUCCGUUGACGCGGACCGCGGGUUCGAAUCCCGCCCCCUCCG
rnacentral:tRNA from 1 species